rnacentral:tRNA from 1 species
GCUCCCGCCCCAUUUCAUUUUGGCUACGUACCGGAUCGUCUGCCAUCUAAGCAGAGGGUCGGGGGUUCAAUUCCCUCCGGGCGCGCCA